CAGGGAUCUUGUCUUAGGGACCAAGGGUCUGGAAGAGACAGUGUCCUGUUGUGUGCCUGUUGCCAGGAGAACGUGCCCGUCCUUCAUUCGAGGAGGCUCUGCUCACACGGGGAGAGUCUGCACAGAAUGCUUUGGAUUCCCGAGAGCUGGCUUCCUCUGUGUGUUGUCACUGACUCCAGCACAGCUGCUGGCAGCACAGCCUGGAGAGACAUUUCCCCUUCGCAUUCAAAGACACAGAUCUCAUCACAGGUCCCCGUGGAGCUGUGGACUUCAGCGCAUGUCACAAAAGUUCUCUAUGAUGAUGAUGGUGGUGGUGACCUGCUCCACAAAGCCUGCUGGGACCAUAGUACCCAUCCCAAGAUGACCAACUGGGUCAGAGGCAGCCACAGGCUUUCCUUCUCAGGCAAGGGUCCCUCCUUUCAAGGAAACAGAUUUGUGCUCAUCGUUACAUUCCCCACCUGGAUGUCCAAAAUCCCAAAUGCCAUGGCUGGAUUAUAGAGCAAUGUCAAUCUCUUAAAACUGGAUUCAGACCCCGGGCGUGGUGGCUCACGUUUGUAAUCCCAGCACUUUGGGAGGCUGAGGCAGGCAGAUCACGAGGUCAGGAGAGAUCAUCCUGGACAACAUGGUGAAAACCCAUCUCUACUAAAAAUACAAAAAUUAGCUGGGCAUGGUGGUGGACGCAUGCAAUCCCAGCUACUUGGGAGGCUGAGGCAGGAGAAUCACUUGAACCAGGGAGUCAGACGUGGCAGUGAACCGAGAAGGCACCA
rnacentral:lncRNA from 1 species